GGGCUCGUAGCUCAGUUCGGCUAGAGCGUUCCGUUCGCAACGGGGAGGCCGCGGGUUCAAAUCCCGCCGAGUCCA
rnacentral:tRNA from 1 species